rnacentral:sRNA from 1 species
AAUAAGAGUGUAGAUAGAGCAUAUGUAGAUGACAGAAGAGAGAGAGCGGGAGGGUUUAUCUGAUCUGUGGUCGCUUGAAUGAUGAGUUGG